AUAUCAACGAUACUAAAACACUGUUUUGCUCACAAUACAUUUUAAAAUAAAAUAAUUCCUAAUUUAUUUUUUGUUUAUUUAAAAAGAAUUGUCCAAAAAUAUCAGCAAAUUGUUAAAAAAUAAGGAAUAUGAUCAGUUACAUAUAGAAAAUUUAGUCAUUAUAUGUAUAUCUAGUAUACUUAAAAAAUAUUAAAACCUACAUCUCUCUGCCCUUUAUUUUGCACAGCUUUUACCAUAUACCUCUCCCCUGCUCUCUCUAGAAACACGUGCUUUCGAAAUAAUCUCUAAAUAGUUAUACAGAAAUAAUCCCAGGAAACUGAGAAUAUAUGUAUCAACCGAUUUUAUAUUCAAAAAUUCAUAAAACAAAGAUAAAGUUUUAUUUUUCUAAGAGUUCAUAGUAAUUUAUGAGAGUAAAGAGAAGAAAUAUCUAUAUAGAACCCUAAUAUAUUAUAUUGCCAUUUACCUCAUGAGCCUAAAUUGCAGUUCUGUCUCUUAUGAAUAUGUGUUGUUGUACCUUUAACCUGAAUGUCUCUGGAUGUAUUUCCAAUAAACCCUAUCCAGCUGUUGUGAUGAUGCUCUGAAAGGGAUUGUCUGUGUUUUGCAUUUGUAAUGCCAUCAACAGGCUUGAAUGUUCCUGCUCUAUUCUAUUUAUAGGUUAAGUUAACUAUGUUGAGUUAACUAAGUUUGAGUGCAAAACGUAAAUUGGAAACCACAGUUAUGUUUGUAUUUUUUAAAUAUAGAACCUGAAAUUGCUGGACAUAUCAGUUUGUAAAAAGAAAUGACUUAAUAAAUAUUUGUCAUGGUUCAGCACACUUUAUUUAUUUUUAGAGAAGUCUUAGUGUUUAUUACAUUGUGAUACACAGCCUGUAAUUUUUCAGUGUGCCCAGUGUUUAUACCAAUUUACGCCUCU